rnacentral:rRNA from 1 species
AACGAACGCUGGCGGCAUGCCUAACACAUGCAAGUCGAACGAGACCUUCGGGUCUAGUGGCGCACGGGUGCGUAACGCGUGGGAACCUGCCCUUAGGUUUGGAAUAACUCCCCGAAAGGGGUGCUAAUACCGGCUAAUGUCUUCGGACCAAAGAUUUAUCGCCUUUGGAUGGGCCCGCGUUGGAUUAGCUAGUUGGUAGGGUAAAAGCCUACCAAGGCGACGAUCCAUAGCUGGUCUGAGAGGAUGAUCAGCCACACUGGGACUGAGACACAGCCCAGACUCCUACGGGAGGCAGCAGUGGGGAAUAUUGGACAAUGGGCGAAAGCCUGAUCCAGCAAUGCCGCGUGAGUGAUGAAGGCCUUAGGGUUGUAAAGCUCUUUUACCCGGGAUGAUAAUGACAGUACCGGGAGAAUAAGCUCCGGCUAACUCCGUG